GCUGGUGGGGAUAGUGGCGCCAGUCCCGGGUGGAUCACUGAAGCUACGUUGCGCGUGGUUGGUGUUCGGAUGGGUGACCAUCUGGGAAACCGCGUGCUGACCUCU
rnacentral:rRNA from 1 species